CUACGGGACGCUCCAGUGGGGAAUAUUGCACAAUGGAGGAAACUCUGAUGCAGCAACGCCGCGUGGAGGAUGACAAUUUUCGGAGCGUAAACUCCUUUUAUAUAGGAAGAAGAUGACGGUACUAUAUGAAUAAGCGCCGGCUAACUCCGUGCCAGCAGCCGCGGUAAUACGGAGGGCGCAAGCGUUACUCGGAAUCACUGGGCGUAAGGAGCGUGUAGGCGGAUUAAAAAGUCAGAAGUGAAAUCCUAUAGCUUAACUAUAGAACUGCUUCUGAAACUCUUAAUCUAGAAUAUGGGAGAGGUAGAUGUAAUUUCUGGUGUAUGUGUAAUAUCCGUAGGGGACAGAAGGGAUCUCGAUUGCGAAGGUGGUCUACUAGGUCAGUUGUGUCUCUGAGACGCGAAAGGGUGCGGACCAGUCGGGAUUAGAUACCCCGGUAGUC
rnacentral:rRNA from 1 species